AUUGAACGCUGGCGGCAGGCCUAACACAUGCAAGUCGAACGAGUGGCGGACGGGUGAGUAAUGUAUGGGGAACUGCCUGAUGGAGGGGGAUAACUACUGGAAACGGUAGCUAAUACCGCAUACUAUCGGAUGUACCCAGAUGGGAUUAGCUAGUAGGUGGGGUAAAGGCUCACCUAGGCGACGAUCUCUAGCUGGUCUGAGAGGAUGACCAGCCACACUGGAACUGAGACACGGGCCAGACUCCUACGGGAGGCAGCAGUGGGGAAUAUUGCACAAUGGGCGCAAGCCUGAUGCAGCCAUGCCGCGUGUAUGAAGAAGGCCUUAGGGUUGUAAAGUACUUUCAGCGGGGAGGCGUUACCCGCAGAAGAAGCACCGGCUAACUCCGUGCCAGCAGCCGCGGUAAUUC
rnacentral:rRNA from 1 species